GAUGAAGAACGUAGCAAAAUGCGAUACUUGGUGUGAAUUGCAGAAUCCCGUGAACCAUCGAGUUUUUGAACGCAAGUUGCGCCCGAAGCCUUUUGGCCGAGGGCACGUCUGCCUGGGCGUCACGCAUCGCGUCGCCCCCCACAAUUCUCCGUAAAGGGAACGUGUGUUUUGGGGGCGGAUAUUGGUCUCCCGGGCUCAUGGCGUGGUUGGCCGAAAUAGGAGUCCUUUCGAUGGACGCACGAACUAGUGGUGGUCGUAAAAACCCUCGUCUUUUGUUUCGUGCUGUUGCUCGCAAGGUAAACUCUUUAAAAACCCCAAUGUGUCGUCUCUUGACGACGCUUCGACCGCGACCCCAGGUCAGGCGGGACUACCCGCUGAGUUUAAGCAUAUCAAUAAGCGGAGGA
rnacentral:misc_RNA from 1 species